ACGCUCGACACCUACGGGAGGCAGCAGUAGGGAAUCUUCCACAAUGGACGCAAGUCUGAUGGAGCAACGCCGCGUGAGUGAAGAAGGUCUUCGGAUCGUAAAACUCUGUUGUUAGAGAAGAACACGAGUGAGAGUAACUGUCCAUUCGAUGACGGUAUCUAACCAGCAAGUCACGGCUAACUACGUGUCAGCAGCCGCGGUAAUCUGAGCGGGCUGGCAAGGC
rnacentral:rRNA from 1 species